rnacentral:rRNA from 1 species
AGCAGCCGCGGUAAUUCCAGCUCCAAUAGCGUAUAUUAAAGUUGUUGCAGUUAAAAGCUCGUAGUUGAAUUUCGGGGUUAGUAGGUUGGUCAUGCCUCUGGUAUGUACUGGUCUCACUGAUUCCUCCUUCCUGAUGAGCCGUAAUGCCAUUAAUUUGGUGUUGCGGGGAAUUUGGACUGUUACUUUGAAAAAUUGAGUGUUUAAAGCAAGCUAACGCUUGAAUACAUUAGCAUGGAAUAAUGAAAUAGGACGUUCGAUCCUAUUUUGUUGGUUUCUAGGAUUGACGUAAUGAUUAAUAGGGAUAGUUGGGGGCAUUAGUAUUCAAUUGUCAGAGGUGAAAUUCUUGGAUUUAUUGAAGACUAACUACUGCGAAAGCAUUUGCCAAGGAUGUUUCAUUAAUCAAGAACGAAGUUAGGGAUCGAAGACGAUCAGAUACCGUCGUAGUCUUAACCAUAAACUAUGCCGACUAGGGAUCGGAUGA